GUAGGUGAACCUGCGGAAGGAUCAUUAUCGUAGGGCUUCGGCCCUGUCGAGAUAGAACCCUUGCCUUUAUGAGUACCGUCCGUUUCCUCGGCAGGCCCGCCUGCCGAUGGACCCAAAACCAAACCCUUUUAUUACCUGUAUCAGUCUGAAAAAUAAACAAAAAUUAAAACUUUCAACAACGGAUCUCUUGGUUCUGGCAUCGAUGAAGAACGCAGCAUCUGACUGACUUCAGUACGAGGCAUCUCGUAUG
rnacentral:misc_RNA from 1 species